UCACAUUUAACCUUAGAAACAUUACCUUAAUUUAUCUAAUUUUUCCGUCGCAUUUUUUAAAUUAAGUGGUUGUAAUGACUAAAAAUAAAAAAGAGAAGAAAAAAUAUAAAUAUUGCGUGAUUUGUAAAGCAGUAGAUGAAGAAAUACCAACUUUCGGAUUUCCAAAUAAAGAUAAAGACGAUGCGACUAGGAAGCUUUGGACAACAUUUUGUGAUGUCGACGAAGUUUCAGUUGGGGCUAAAUUGUGUGCCAAGCACUUCAGUGAUGAAGAUAUCAUCAAACGAAAAUCAAGUGAUGGUGGAUCCAAUCAUCGAUUAAAAAAAAAUGCAAUACCCUCACUUCUUCCUCAGCCUCAAAUAUGUAAAACUCCUAAGCGUGAACGCUUGAAAAUUUGUUUCAUUUGUGAUUGCCAAGAAAAGGGUGUUUCAUAUUUUACAUUUCCGGAGGACCCAGAUUUGAGGAAAAAGUGGAUGUUUUUUUGUAAGUGUUCCCAAGAAGAUGCCGAAAUGAUGGGGAAAAAUACUGUAUUGUGUGAAAAACAUUUUGAGGAAAGAGAUAUCAUUAGAAAAAGGAGUAUUGGAACCGGAUAUGCUUACGACACCCUUAUUUUGAACGCAGUUCCAAAAUAUACGAUUUAAAUGCUUGUACUUCUGAUGCAAUUCUCGCUGACUUGGUUGAUAGUAAUGAUGUGUGUUUGGAAAUAAUUGAAAUUGAUACCUCUGAAUCUUCAUCUCCCAUUGAAGUGACAAUCACAGAUCUUCCAGUUGAGGAAAAUGUAACUGCAACUCCACCUAUCACUAAUGCAAGCCCACCAGCAUCUUCAUCUGUUAUGAAUACGACGUCUGAAAUGUCACAUUUUGAACUUGAUUCUACAUUGAAUUCUCCGCUUACAGUUUACGAUCAAUCUACUUUAAAAAGAAUGCUCCAUGAUGACUGUACUGAAUGUUCACAUUUUCUGAAACGCUCUCCGAAACAUUCUUCAUUGUAUCAUUAAAUUUUCUAACGAAUGCUACAGUUAUCGCGAGCGGAGCUCCAGCUCCACUUCCUCGACCCAUCGGCUUCCUAUCCGAAUUCCUAAAUCAAAAAUCAAUUCAAUUCUAAUGAAGAUUUCCUUGUCAUCUGCUGUGAGUGCUGUGGUUUGCGAAUGAAAAAUAUGAAGAAUACUAUGCUACCUACAUCCUACAACUGGUUUGGAAGAUGCUUCGAGUCGACAAAAAAAAAUCAACAAAAUGAUUCAUUAUCACGUUUUUUAUUAUUGUCGUAGAGUAAAGAAAAACCAUGGCUCCGAUUUUUAAGAUUUUUGGUUCUAAUUUGGUAAUUUGCUUGAAAAAAUAUGAUUCAAUGUUCGAAUGUGGAAAACUGGAAAAUCAAAUUUUGCUGGCGGUUCUCGAAUGGAUCCACUUCGGAAUUUUAGGGGGAAAAAAUAAUAAUAAGUAAUGAAACAAAAUCCAAAAAAACACUAAUUAUGUAGAAGUUUGCUGGAAAUUAUUAAUCGUAACUCCAAUCUUCAAAAAUUGAAACGACGUUUAUUUUGCAAAAAUAUGUAGGUACUUAAUUUAUUAGUAAAAAUACGAGUACGUAUAGCCAUAAGUACAUUACAUACAUGUAGGUAGAAGUCAGCUAAUACUAUGAGAAGACCAAUUUCAAAUAACUAGUGGGAUACUUCUAUGCAAGUCAAAUCUUGUGCUAUUUCAGACACUACCCUGAUUUUUCACUUUCUAGUUUAAUACAAUACACGAAAGUUUCCUCAUCGCGCAAAUGCUCAUACUUUUUUUUAAUGACUGUUCAGAUAACAUUUUUAUUUUUAAAAGCUAGGAAACGAGCCCUUUUUUUGUACACAAAUAGUUUGUAUUGUAUAUGGUUAUCAAGGUGUGAGUCAUACGUCGGAGCACGUAUGUAUUGUAUUCGCACUUCUCGUUCGGCGCGCGUCACCUGUCAAUUUUGUGCCUUAUACGUUGCAUCAUGUAAAUAAUCAAAUUGGACUGUAUGCGCCGAACGAAAAAUUCGAAUACAUACUCCGACAUAUGACUCACACCUUGAUAACGAUAACCAUAUAAUACAAACUAUGUGUACAAAAAAAGGGCUCGUUUCCUAGCUUAUAAAAAUAAAAUAAUAAAAAUAAUGUUACUCUGAACAAUGGCACUUUCUCACAAUCAGUUACAUUUCGAAUCGGUAUCAUUUUUCAAAUUUCAGAAACAGUAAAGGUUUUCAAUCCGAUAUCCAUUACAAGAAUUGACUAGAGUAGCGCACGAAACUUCGACUACAGGAAUUCCCUGCAAAACGAGCACACCCACACCAUAUAAAAUUCACAAAAUGUAUAAUAAGAAUACGUGUAUUAACAAGCCUACCAAAAAAAAAACAAAAAACAUAAACAAAAAUCGUAUAACAUUUUCAAAUAGGUAAGCGCAAUUAAAAACAAAAUAAAAUUCAUAAUAUAAAACGUGUACAAGGUACAUACAUUUUCAUACCAAAAAAAAAAAAUGUAUAAGUUUUGACUAGUAGUUAUUCUCAAAAGUUAAUAACCGAAACUGAACUGAUUUAUUUUCAGUUUGCAAGCAUACAACAGCGCUGUUUUCAGCUUAUAAUAUUUUCAGUUUAGGGUUAUAGAACAUAUUUUUAUUUUCAAGUAACCCGUUUUCGGUCUUGAAAAAAAAUAUUUAUAUACAUACAUACGAGUGUAUUGUAUCACGCUCACGGUUCAUCGCAAUCGUUUGAAAUAAAGUGCAUAAUAACACUUCUCCUAGUUCGAUACUGUCAACGUAAUACGCAACUAUUUAGUCGGAUAGGACCUUACAAAUAGGCAAUAAGUACGGGUAGUAAGUAAAAAUUAUUAUAAAAAUGCAUUCGCGUUCGGUACAAUAUGCUUCAAUUCAAAGG